rnacentral:rRNA from 1 species
UACGAAGGGGGCUAGCGUUGCUCGGAAUCACUGGGCGUAAAGGGCGCGUAGGCGGCGUUUUAAGUCGGGGGUGAAAGCCUGUGGCUCAACCACAGAAUGGCCUUCGAUACUGGGACGCUUGAGUAUGGUAGAGGUUGGUGGAACUGCGAGUGUAGAGGUGAAAAUUCGUAGAUAUUCGCAAGAACACCGGUGGCGAAGGCGGCCAACUGGAC